AUGGCUGUCGUCAGCUCGUGUCGUGAGAUGUUGGGUUAAGUCCCGCAACGAGCGCAACCCUCGCCCUUAGUUGCCAUCAUUUAGUUGGGCACUCUAGGGGGGCUGCCGGUGAUAAGCCGAGAGGAAGGUGGGGAUGACGUCAAGUCCUCAUGGCCCUUACAAGCUGGGCUACACACGUGCUACAAUGGCGGUGACAAUGGGAUGCAAAGGGGCGACCCCGAGCAAAUCUCAAAAAGCCGUCUCAGUUCAGAUUGUACUCUGCAACUCGAGUACAUGAAGGUGGAAUCGCUAGUAAUCGCGGAUCAGAACGCUGCGGUGAAUACGUUCCCGGGCCUUGUACACACCGCCCGUCACACCAUGGGAGUUGGCUUUACCCGAAGGCGUUUCGCUAACCGCAAGGAGGCAGACGACCACGGUAGGGUCAGCGACUGGGGUGAAGUCGUAACAAGGUAGCCGUAGGGGAACCUGCGGCUGGAUCACCUCCUUUCUAAGGAUGAUCCUUCAAGGCGGGGCACUCUGCCCCAAUUUAUUGGAUCUCUUAGAUUAUAUCGGUCAGUCAGACCGAUUUUGCGGGACACCGCCAUCUUCGUUUCUCUUUCUUCUUGGACGAGAGCCCACGCGGCACUGCCGCAUGAUUGGGUUGUUGCAUGCAACGGCUCGGGCUUGUAGCUCAGUUGGUUAGAGCGCGCGCUUGAUAAGCGUGAGGUCGGAAGUUCAAGUCUUCCCAGGCCCACCAUCGCCGGCGCGUGCAAUUGGCCAUUGGGUCGAUCCGGUUUUGCGGCGACCGGCUUGCAUCAGCGCGGUUGCGCGACUGGCUCGGGGCCAUAGCUCAGUUGGGAGAGCGCGUGCUUUGCAAGCAUGAGGUCGUCGGUUCGAUCCCGUCUGGCUCCACCAGACGCGAGUAUCGGAGCAGUCGUCGUCCGCUAUAAGUUUGCGGCGUUGCAAUGUCUGCGCGCCGUUGGUUAAUUGACAUCGUGAAAAGGAAAUGCAUCUGGUCGGCGCCGACGUGUCAAAAGCGUUGGCGACGAGCAAAAUUUGUGGACGGAGCUUGACCGCACCGUUCUUGGAUGCAUUUGAAGCAAACUGGUCUUUAAAUACAUCGAGUCCAACGGUUUCAUAUAGGCGGAACCGACCGCUGCCGAGCGGUGGACAUCGAUAAUGAGAGCGAUCAAGUGUCAUAAGGGUAUUCGGUGAAUGCCUUGGCGCUGAGAGGCGAUGAAGGACGUGGUACGCUGCGAUAAGCCGUGGGGAGCUGCGAACAAGCUUUGAUCCGCGGAUUUCCGAAUGGGGAAACCCGG
rnacentral:sRNA from 2 species